rnacentral:rRNA from 1 species
CCUACGGGUGGCAGCAGUGGGGAAUAUUGGGCAAUGGACGCGAGCCUGAACCAGCCAAGUAGCGUGAAGGAUGACUGCCCCACGGGUUGUAAACUUCUUUUAUAAAGGAAUAAAGUGAGGCACGUGUGCCUUUUUGUAUGUACUUUAUGAAUAAGGAUCGGCUAACUCCGUGCCAGCAGCCGCGGUGAUACGGAGGAUCCGAGCGUUAUCCGGAUUUAUUGGGUUUAAAGGUAGCGUAGAUGGGUUGUUAAGUCAGUGGUGAAAGUUUGCGGCUCAACCGUAAAAUUGCAAUUGAUACUGGCAGCCUUGAGUACAGUUGAGGUAGGCGGAAUUCGUGGUGUAGCGGUGAAAUGCUUAGAUAUCACGAAGAACUCCGAUUGCGAAGGCAGCUUACUAAACUGCCACUGACAUUGAUGCUCGAAAGUGUGGGUAUCAAACAGGAUUAGAUACCCGUGUAGUC